rnacentral:rRNA from 1 species
AACCGGAUUAGAUACCCGGGUAGUCCACGCCGUAAACGAUGGAUACUAGCUGUAGGGGGUAUCGACCCCUUCUGUAGCGAAGCUAACGCGUUAAGUAUCCCGCCUGUGGAGUACGGUCGCAAGACUAAAACAUAAAGGAAUUGACGGGGACCCGCACAAGCGGUGGAUCAUGUUCUUUAAUUCGAUGAUAAACGAAGAACUUACCAGGGUUUGACAUCCCGAGAAUUAAUCCGAAAGGAUUGAGUGCUUUAUUGAACUCGGUGACAGAUGUUGCAUGGCCGUCGUCAGCUCGUGUCGUGAGAUGUUUGGUUAAGUCCAUCAACGAGCGCAACCCUUGUGAAUAGUUGUAUUUUUCUAUUCAGACUGCCCCGGCAACGGGGAGGAAGGAGGGGAUGAUGUCAGGUCAGUAUUACUCUUACAUCCUGGGCUAGAAACGUGAUACAAUGGCAAGUACAAUGCGCAGCGAAGCCGCGAGGUGAAGCAAAU